rnacentral:tRNA from 1 species
GAUGUGGCAGAUUAGUGCAAUGAAUUUAAGAUUCAUGUAUAAAUUUAUUUUUUUUCAGAA